ensembl:lncRNA
CGCGAAGCCUCGACGGCGCGGGGAGCGAUCCCGCAACGUGUCGAUCCCGCAGCGCGUCCGUCCCGCAGCCGGCACAGGCGCGUCGCGUUACGAGCGUUGGCGCUGCUAAAACGCUGCGCGUCUGCACCGUGCGGUGAGCGCGCACCGCUCGGAAAGAGCCGGAGAAAUUUUCAGCUGCAGCCCCGACGCUCGGCGCGGUACGGCACGGUUCGGCUCGGCACGGCUCGGCACGGCUCGCCACGGCCGUGUCCCACGGCCACCCCGAGGCCGGGAGGCUCUGGAGCCGCGCUGGAAGAGGAUGCGGCACGCCCAGCGAUUGUUUGCCGAGUGGCAGCGAGGUGUCGCGGGAGAGGAAGCCCACGCUCGGCUCUUGGCCGUCGGAGCUGAGCUGUGGAGGCUCCGCGGUCUCGUGGGUAGAAACAGGAUAGCCAAGAACAAAGAUAGAAAUAGGGGACGUGCGUGAAUUCGUGCCUCGGCGAGCGAGAUGGAGGAAUGGUAACCGCAGUACAACCUCCUCCAGAAUAGGGGUGUGCAAGGAGAGCUCCCCGCUCGGUGCAUCCCCUCCAAGUAAGUGAUGGUUUGUUGGGAACCCUCCUCAUCCAGCAGCACCCUGAGGCUCUGGGCGAGAUGCACGCGUCUGCGGCCAAGCCUUGAGAAUGGGCACUCAAACAGAGCAAAGGGGCACAUGGAGACCCUACUGACCUACACAGCGGUGCCAUGCAGCAACGGCGUUGUGGAGCACCAACAGCACCAAGCAUUGCCAUAGGCGUGGGUGUGUAGUAUUGUGGGAGGUUCUGGAUGUCCACCAUCGUGAUCCCCUCUGCUAGGAUACAUCCCAGCUGUCCCACCAGCAUAGCUCAGGGGGGAGGGACCCCUCGGCAUCUCUCUCACCCAAGGCCCCCCAGCAGAUGGGGAGGACAGAGCAGCACAGGGUGAGCUGCGAGCAGGGCGGCGGAAGUGAAGCAUUCUGAAGAGGAGGAACAGCCGGUGGUGGUGGGAGGGAGGUGAUGGGAGACUGCAGAUUGGCCAAGCAGCCCAAGGAGGGGACACACAAUGGGGGGAAGUGGCUGCGUUGCCGUGCUGGAAGCGGUGCCUGCCCAUGACGUACCUCAUCCCAUCGCGCCCUGCGUGAGGCCAUGUCUGCGAUGUGCUGCUGGGACCCAUAAUGUGUGGUGCUGCAGCGGUGGUGGUGGGGCCAGAGGGGUGUCGGGGAAGGAGAAAGCCGUGGCCAAGGGCCAGAGGUGUUUCUUCCUGGUCCAAAAGGCGAAUUGACUCAUUUGGGAAUCAGAGAGGGAAAGCGCUGAUUGAUUCUAGACAGGGCCUAAAAGCCCUACAAAGCCUAAAACGAGUGCUGGCCUAAAGUAAAGGAGGGCUUGGGUGAGGCAGCCGGGCUUGAGCCAUCACACCUAAGGUCCACCUUGUGCGUGGGCUCAGGUUUUGAUUUCUGUUCACUUUUCCUGGCUGAGGAUGAGCCAUGAGCAGCUCUGUGCAGCAGCUGAGCAGCUCCCGGGAAAGGCUCUCACAUCCCAUCACAGCCGCAUUCCUAUGGCCUCUCUGUCACACUCAGGAUCACAUAGGAGCAGCGUGGAUCCAUAUGAAGCACCACAGACGUGCUCUGUUUUCCUCUCCUUCCCUGACAACUUUUCCUGUUUCUCCUUUCCACUCCCUGUGGCACAGCAGAGACCGGGCACCUGGGGACCUGCAGCUGCACUCAGUGCUCGGGGGGGAUCAUGCUGGGAGCAUCCCGAAGUGCAGCAAGGAAUUGUUAUCUCAGCGCUGGAGAGUGCUGAGGAAGCUGUGGCCAGCCGUGGAGCAGGUAAAUAUAUUAAAAUGUCAAUAAAGCCCAUUGCUGUGCAGCUCCCACUACCACAACAGCACUCUUCCUUUCACGGGUGACUUACACAACCACGAGUACUCUCUCAUCCUCACUCCCGUGCCAUGCAUCACGAGGUGGCCACACCUGGCCAAAGCGGGGGGCACCUGCAUUUUGCAGCCCGAUCCCUGCACUGGUGAGUCCCGCCGCAGAGCUGCUGUGAAGGAUUCAAGCAGAGCACGGAUGAGAAGAGGCCGCGUCUGCCGCAGUACGCAGAGCUCUGCAGCACAUUUCGCGGCCGUGCAAUAAAAUCCGCGUACGCUUCGCGGGGGACGAGGUCGCUCCCAGCUGCGACACGGGUCCCGGCCUGUCCCCAAGCAAGAUCCGCCACCGCCACCUAUCGGCGGGCACACGGGGACGGGGGGCAGACGGCCCCUCUUCGUCCCGCAGCGGUGGGAUCUCCAGCAGCGCCCUCCGCAAAGCUCCCGCUCUGCCCUCGUCCUCAGCCCGGCGCACAGCGCUGCAG